GGCCUACGGGAGGCAGCAGUGGGGAAUAUUGGACAAUGGGCGCAAGCCUGAUCCAGCCAUGCCGCGUGUGUGAAGAAGGUCUUCGGAUUGUAAGGCACUUUAAGUUGGGAGGAAGGGUUGUUGCCUAAUACGUAGCAACUUUGACGUUACCGACAGAAUAAGCACCGGCUAACUCUGUGCCAGCAGCCGCGGUAAU
rnacentral:rRNA from 1 species